rnacentral:rRNA from 1 species
UACGAAGGGGGCUAGCGUUGCUCGGAUUGACUGGGCGUAAAGGGCGCGUAGGCGGUCAGCACAAGUCAGUUGUGAAAUCUCCGGGCUUAACUCGGAAAGGUCAACUGAUACUGUGCGACUAGAGUGCAGAAGGGGCAACUGGAAUUCUCGGUGUAGCGGUGAAAUGCGUAGAGAUCGGGAGGAACAUCUGUGGCGAAGGCGGCCAUCUGGACCAGCACUGACACUGAGGCACGAAAGCGUGGGGAGCAAACAGG